rnacentral:lncRNA from 1 species
UGCAUUUUUUACUGCCGAAAAUUCCAUGAAUUUACAAUAUACUCCUAAGUAUAACUAAGCAUCUAAAGAAGAAAAGAAAGGAAAAUUUUUAAAGUAAAGAGCAAAAUUCUUCCUAACUUCAAGCCUUUCCACUGCCACCAAAUCCUUCAAACCAGCUUCAACUUGCAAGAAAUCAGCUAUAGAGUUGUUUCUCACAAGUCAGCAUUUCAAACUCCAGCCCUGAGAUUGCUUGGCCUUAUUGCCACUCACAUACAAAACAACAAAGAUAAAGUGCAGGUUUCAGCAUUCAUUGAGAUCCAUUGACUAGUGUAUCUUUGACUUAAAUGAUAAAAUAAUCAGAAAGAGAGAAAGGAAACCACUUCAACAAUUGAAAAUCCAUGUUCAAAUAGUCAAAUCCACUACAUUCAUACCAAAAUAGCCAAGUAUCACAUAGAAGCUCAUUCAUUAUACAUAUUUUUUGCAAACUUACUGAUACUAUAUUACCUCAAAACAAACAGUACAUGAGAGGAGGUGGGAUUAAUACCUUGUAGCAACAAGAAACAAUCAGUAAAAUAGGGAUGAAAUACUAAUCAGAACUUUGAAGGAGCAGCCAACAAAGCCAAGCAGCAACAAUAAAAAUCAACCCAGAGAAAACCCAGAAUCAACACACAAAAUGUCUCCAAAAUCAUAAUACCAGCCUAGAAGUCUAACCCAGAAAAACUGAAAUUUUCAUAGAACUCUUAAGGAAAUUUUUC